rnacentral:rRNA from 1 species
UGGGUAAUCUACCUUCUGGUGGGGGAUAACUCUGGGAAACCGGAGCUAAUACCGCAUAAGCCUGAAAAGGGAAAGGGGAAAUUCGCCGGAAGAGGAGCCCGCGGCCGAUUAGCUAGUUGGUGGGGUAAAAGCCUACCAAGGCGACGAUCGGUAGCCGGCCUGAGAGGGCACACGGCCACACUGGCACUGAAACACGGGCCAGACUCCUACGGGAGGCAG